UACGUAGGGUGCAAGCGUUGUCCGGAAUUAUUGGGCGUAAAGAGCUCGUAGGCGGUCUGUCGCGUCGGCUGUGAAAACUCGGGGCUCAACUCCGAGCUUGCAGUCGAUACGGGCAGGCUAGAGUUCGGCAGGGGAGACUGGAAUUCCUGGUGUAGCGGUGAAAUGCGCAGAUAUCAGGAGGAACACCGGUGGCGAAGGCGGCAUCCUGGACCGGCAUUGACGCUGAGGAGCGAAAGCCAGGGGAGCAAACGGG
rnacentral:rRNA from 1 species